rnacentral:rRNA from 1 species
UACGUAGGGUGCAAGCGUUAAUCGGAAUUACUGGGCGUAAAGCGUGCGCAGGCGGUUUUGUAAGUCUGUCGUGAAAGCCCCGGGCUCAACCUGGGAAUUGCGAUGGAGACUGCAAGGCUUGAAUCCGGCAGAGGGGGGUAGAAUUCCACGUGUAGCAGUGAAAUGCGUAGAGAUGUGGAGGAACACCGAUGGCGAAGGCAGCCCCCUGGGUCAAGAUUGACGCUCAUGCACGAAAGCGUGGGGAGCAAACAGG